CUAACCCUAUAUUAUGCGAAGUCUUAGGUUUUACCUGAGAGGUUUAUGUAGCAUAAAUGGGGAUUU
rnacentral:ncRNA from 1 species